GAAUAUAUCGGUGGGCCGGACUUUCACGACAUGUUUAACACGGUUGUGGGAAGCAACCGGACACAGGAGUCUACUGACAAGGGCUUUGAAUUAUUAACUUAGCAAUUUAAUAAUAAAUUAGUAUACUUCUUCUACUUCGUUCUGCCAUUAUUCGCACUGGCACGCCCUUUUUCCUACAAAAACUACGCAGGAGAUUCUUAACGGCUUCGAAACUGUACCACGAGACGCAGGAGAGGUGAGAGGAGAGAUUGCCCGCCAAGAAACUGCCAAAAUGGAACAAAUUUUCAAUAUAUUUGGACCUUAGAUGCCGUAUAAUGGAAAACAUAGAAUGCACCCUUAUUGCUACAUCAUUGACCUUGCCCUUUUGUACAAUAUGCGAGUCCAUGGAUAAUUAUUUGUCAAAAUGCCCAUAAGCAAUGGAGGUCUGGAAAGUGUAGAAACUGCAUCUUCUACACAUACAUACAUAAACACAAUAUGAAUCAUAUAGCAAUUUUUGGGCGCGAUUGCAUGAUGCAUGUAAAUAACACGGAAAAAGUCCAGUUUUAAAGCUCCAGAAAGCUUUCAAAGCUUCCACUUUUAAGCUCAC